rnacentral:rRNA from 1 species
AACGAACGCUGGCGGCAGGCCUAACACAUGCAAGUCGAGCGCAUCGCAAGGUGAGCGGCGGACGGGUUAGUAACGCGUGGGAACGUGCCCUUUUCUUCGGAAUAGCUUCGGGAAACUGAAGGUAAUACCGGAUACGCCCGUUGACGUAUACGUCGACGGGGAAAGAUUUAUCGGAGAAGGAUCGGCCCGCGUCUGAUUAGGUAGUUGGUGGGGUAAUGGCCUACCAAGCCGACGAUCAGUAGCUGGUUUGAGAGGAUGAUCAGCAACACUGGGACUGAGACACGGCCCAGACUCCUACGGGAGGCAGCAGUGGGGAAUCUUAGACAAUGGGGGCAACCCUGAUCUAGCCAUGCCGCGUGGAUGAUGAAGGCCUUAGGGUCGUAAAGUCCUUUCGCUGGGGAAGAUAAUGACGGUACCCAGUAAAGAAACCCCGGCUAACUCCGUGCCAGCCGCCGCCGUAAUAC